GUGAAUCAUCAAAUUUUUGAACGCAAAUUGCACUCUCUGGUAUUCCGGAGAGCAUGCCUGUUUGAGGGUCAGUUUUAAUAAAAAUCGCUGUGGUUGCUGCCUUUCGUGGUGAAGCCCCGGAUCUGCGUCGUCUUGCCUUCGGCUAAGUGUUCUAAAAUUUUGCAUGAUUUUUUUCGAACGUAUUAUUA
rnacentral:misc_RNA from 1 species